UCUGGGUCUUUCCUCCUUCACAGGCAGCAUCGCCGCCAUCACUGUGACAGUCAUUGCUGUGGUGUUGCUGGUGUUUGGAGCUGCGGCAUACCUGAAGAUCAGGCAUUCCUCCUACGGAAGGCUGCUGGAUGACCAUGACUACGGGUCCUGGGGAAACUACAACAACCCUCUCUAUGAUGACUCUUAACAAAGGAAGGUGGCUGAGGACAAGAAAUAACUGUCCUUUAUUUAUAAGUGCUUAUCCAGUAGAAUUAAUAACAAGUACCUGAUGUACACUGAACGACAAUCGCAAGCCCUCUUUUGUUGGUUUGGUUGUUUUUGUUUUCCUUCCUCUCUCCUCUGGCUGCUACUACAAUGUCCCCCUUCUGGUACAAAAGAACCAUUGCGUAAAGGCCAGCGGAGGCCGAUUUGCAGCUGACGCGGGCCAUCUUUGCACUGACCAAGCCAGAUAUCAUGAGGUGGGGGGGCUGCAGAACCCCUAUCACGGGAACCACUCUGGAAAUGACCUAGGAAAGGGGCUCGGAGUUGCUUGGUUGGGGAUUUAAUUUUAGGCGAUCUUUUGGUUUGGGUUAUUUCUUAAAGUUCUCGACAGGAAAUUACAUUAAAUAUCAGCAAGGAGAAAGGAAUAAAUCCCAGGAGGCUGCCACCCUGUGUGGAAGAGGUAGGGACUUCUUGAUUCCUUUCUAACCCUUGUUUGCCGGGUUGUAUCUGACAGGAUGCCGACUUAGUCCUAUAAGCAGAUAUACAAUUCUCAGCUGCCUAACCGAUGACAGGUAAAAGAGGCCUUGCCCAGGAGGAGAGCAGCAGGCAAGGGCAGAGCAGCACAGCAGGCUGUCAGUCAACAAACUCAACCAGCUCUCCCCAUCCAGGCCACCGGAAGGCGACAGGGAUCCCAACCUGAUAGCUUUCAAGAAAGUUAUAGGUCCAAACGUGAAGCGGGGAGGUGAUCUUGAAGAACAGGCGGGGAGAGACUGCAGAGACUAAGGGAUGGGGGAAGAGGGGAGAGACAAAAGCUUACGUGCACCACGGACCCUCUUGAAGCAAGCAGGAGUCGGCUCUCCAUGGUAGUGGGAGAUAUCAAAAUCUUGGAGGAACACCAUAGAACUCUAACCCAUAAAGCAACUGCCUCACUGCCUUGCUAUCUGUGUUGAGUAAUGGCUGUAUGCUAUUCCCCCCC